rnacentral:rRNA from 1 species
UACGUAGGGUGCAAGCGUUGUCCGGAAUUAUUGGGCGUAAAGAGCUCGUAGGCGGUCUGUCGCGUCUGCUGUGAAAACUCAGGGCUUAACCCUGAGCUUGCAGUGGGUACGGGCAGACUAGAGUGCGGUAGGGGAGAUCGGAAUUCCUGGUGUAGCGGUGAAAUGCGGCAGAUAUCAGGAGGAACACCGGUGGCGAAGGCGGAUCUCUGGGCCGUAACUGACGCUGAGGAGCGAAAGCAUGGGGAGCGAACAGG